AGAGCAAGUCUGUUGAAACUGAAGGGCUCUUGGAUGAAAUGCGGAGCGCCUUGUCCUCGCCCGUCCUGGAUUCUCCAAACAGCAGUGCUGACGUCACUCUGGACACCACUGGCGAGCUCACCGUUGAGGACGUCAAAGACUUCUUAAUGACUGUGGAUGAAGCUGAGAAUAACUACAGGAACAUGACUGAAGAGGAUGGGAGGCCUCCUGGGAUUCUCAUCAACUGAGGCGAGCCGGCAGACAGCUGGAGGAGCAGUUAUGGGUGAAGACUCAUCAGCUGAACUCGUUACUUCUAAUUGGAUCUUGACAGAGCAGUUUGUGACUCCGGAAGUUGCACCAAACAUUGUUCAUGAAGUUUUUACAAUGGGAAUGUUGCACUUUUUCCCCUGUGCCAAAAGUCUAUUAUCCUCGUUUUCUUCACCUUUCCUCCAGUUUUCUUCUCCUUUUUUUUUUUUCCUCUGACAACCGUUGGUUCCUUUGAGGGGCCAUAAAAUGGCACAUUUGAGAGGUGACUUUUAAAGGGAUCAGGCAAUAAAACAGCCGAGAUGUUGCACAAUGUCUGUAUGCAGGUAGGGGGCUACUUGCACUGAGCCCGUGAAGUUUUUCUUCUUCGUUUGUCUUUUAACAUUCCUCUUUUGUCACGUCACCUCUCCUCUCACUGUGUGCCAUUCAUUAGUUUAGGCUAAAUUCCUACAUUUAGAAUACAUAGCUGCUACAGUUCACGAAUCUCGAAGGGUAUUUUGGGGCGACCAACUGCACAACAGAAAAUAACUAUUCAAGCUUAAUUAUGGGAAAAAAAUAUGAAGUGCCCUGCUCAUUUAUGAACGUAUAUUUUUCUGUAUGAAGUGUUUGCUUUUUUCCCCUCCUGACAGCCUUUUCAACAAUAUCUAUGAUACUGUGAUGGUUUCUGACCUCAAAUCGGGAGUCUAUUGAAAAGUUCAAGUUAUGGACCCUGUGGGUUUGAUAGAGAUAUUUUCCUCUCAUUCAGUCGUCUUUAUUAUUAUUUUUUAAUAAUGUCCCUUAACCACUUGCCAUUGUAAGUAAUUCUGGCAGUUAACUGUGAAGUGUGUCAUUUAAAGGAACAUGGUGUGUAACCUUUGAGUAUUCGCCGCAGUCAUUCUAACCAGUUUUUGGCACAGUAUUAACACGGUAUGAAGGAGCUAACGACUUUUUCUAUUUACACAGUAUUCUUUAGAAUAAUUUUAUAUGGCUUAUAAGGGUUGGUAUCUUGUAUUUUAUAGAUAUUUCACUGGCAUUUAAGUAACUAGGCAU